CUGGACUAGAGGGUAGAGGUACUGGACUAGAGGGUAGAGGUACUGGACUAGAGGGUAGAGGUACUGGACUAGAGGUACUGGACUAGAGGGUAGAGGUACUGGACUAGAGGGUAGAGGUACUGGACUAGAGGGUAGAGGUACUGGACUAGAGGGUAGAGGUACUGGACUAGAGGGUAGAGGUACUGGACUAGAGGGUAGAGGUACUGGACUAGAGGGUAGAGGUACUGGACUAGAGGGUAGAGGUACUGGACUAGAGGUACUGGACUAGAGGGUAGAGGUACUGGACUAGAGGGUAGAGGUACUGGACUAGAGGGUAGAGGUACUGGACUAGAGGGUAGAGGUACUGGACUAGAGGGUAGAGGUACUGGACUAGAGGGUAGAGGUACUGGACUAGAGGGUAGAGGUACUGGACUAGAGGGUAGAGGUACUGGACUAGAGGGUAGAGGUA